rnacentral:rRNA from 1 species
UAGGGAAUCUUCCACAAUGGACGCAAGUCUGAUGGAGCAACGCCGCGUGAGUGAAGAAGGUUUUCGGACCGUAAAGCUCUGUUGUUGGUGAAGAAGGAUAGAGGUAGUAACUGGCCUUUAUUUGACGGUAAUCAACCAGAAAGUCACGGCUAACUACGUGCCAGCAGCCGCGGUAAUACGUAGGUGGCAAGCGUUGUCCGGAUUUAUUGGGCGUAAAGCGAGCGCAGGCGGAAGAAUAAGUCUGAUGUGAAAGCCCUCGGCUUAACCGAGGAAUUGCAUCGGAAACUGUUUUCUUGAGUGCAGAAGAGGAGAGUAGAACUCCAUGUGUAGCGGUGGAAUGCGUAGAUAUAUGGAAGAAUACCAGUGGCGAAGGCGGCUCUCUGGUCUGCAACUGACGCUGAGGCUCGAAAAGCAUGGGUAGCGAACAGGAUUAGAUACCCUGGCAGUCCAUGCCGUAAACGAUGAGUGCUAAGUGUUGGGAGGCUUCCGCCUCUCAGUGCUGCAGCUAACGC